UGAAGAAGGGAACAAACCUGGGGACUUUGGUGUGGUCGCCUGCCUUUACCGAUUUCCAUAGACUGGAUUUCCCCCCUGUUUUCCUAUUUCUAAUUUAGUGCUCUGCAAGGUGUUUCAGUGCCCUGUAGUGUGAAACAGUCCCAUAGAAGGAAACAGAGCACGUUUCCUGGACCAUGUGUCUAUGUGUGCUUAGUCGUCACUGUUCUGACCAGUUAAAGAUGAUGAGGGCUUGGCUAGUUCUGAAGAGGACCCAAAGGCAGGAAAUGCAGUGCUGGAUUAAGUUAAAUCUUAUAUUUAAACUGGCAGAUAAAGUGUGCAGUGUGGACAGAUUGUUGGAAGGGAUAAAGUAUCUGUGAGAAAACAUUUGCCCUAGUUAUUUGAUUUUGUCAGUCUUCAGAUAGACUUAAUUCCUUGGUUUGCCAGCCCCUGGUUAGCUCUGUUUUCUCUUCUGCAUUAUUGUUGUCUUAUUUACAGCACCCUACCAUUCACACAUUAUCUCAAAGCAAGCACUUCUGCAAUGUCUGCAUUGUAUUAAUAUGAAGUGUCACUACUCAUGUGUGCUAGCAGAGUGCAAAGCCAUCUGAACUCAACAGGAUGAACCCUAUCUUCAGGGUCCACCUCUCUCUGCCAGUUGGGAAGUUGGUCUACAUUUUCUCAAUGAUGAUGCCUGGGAUUGCUUGCUUUGGCCAUUCUCCCUUGAGUGCAUUGAGAGUAGCAGUUUUUUUUUAGGUGACGAUACUCAUCUGUCAUUAGCAGUUGCACCUGGAUGGUGAGGGAUAAGUUUUUGCUGCCUAGCGGAUGGCAAAACCACUUUAGACUGAGAUGUGCUCAGCCUGAUUUCCCAUGAACACCUUGUGUCUGUACAGGUCUUUUAAAAAGGACUUAAUGAGUUUCUUACUGAGUGACUGAGAGAGGGGUGUGUGUGUUUGCAGGCAGGAAGCCCAUUAUUGUUUCUUUUUAUAUAAACCUUGCUGAGACCUGACCUAAACAUUGAAGUGUAAAAAAAAUCAUCAAAGGAUUGAUUGGUCUAUUGUAACCUGGGCCACUCCCUGCCUGUCUGCCCCCCUUCCUCAUCCCCAUCCAUUAGCUGUGUCAUCUUUAACUUUAUUAUAAAGUGUGGCUUUGUUCAUGUUGACUUUAUGGAGUUGUGCUUAAAGGUCAUUUGAAAUUUUAUGUCUUAUAACCACAUAGAAUUGUUUUACUGGCAUAAAUGAGAUGAAUCAACUUGUUUUCUGGUAUUGCUUAAUAGAAACCCAAGAACUGAAGGAUCGAAAAUCUCAGUGUUUCUUUACAUUGUCAAACAAGUAAACAAACAAAAAUUCACCAACAUACCACUUGCAGAGUGAAACUUAAAAUGACUUUUCAUGCUGAAUUAUUUCAAUGUAUUGCAGUCACUUUUUAUCUGCAAUCAAAAUUCAUGUGGAGAGAAUUCUUUAAGUUUGUUGUCAUCAUUUUAUUAAAAUAUCAGAAUAUGUUGUAGAAACAUAUGUGGAAUUUCCAGUACUUUAGAGGA
rnacentral:lncRNA from 1 species